rnacentral:tRNA from 1 species
AUUCAGGUAGUUUAAAUAAAAUAUUGAUUUGUGGAGUCAAAGAAAUAAUAUAAUUCUGAAUA